AUGGGGCAGAGCCGCAUGAACGUCACCAAGCAGAGCUGGGAGCAGGGGGACGUCUACACCUGUCAAGUGACCCACCCAGCAGUGGGAGCAGAACCCCGCAAGAAGAACAUCAACGGGACCAUCAGCCUGGUCAGUUCUCACCCUGUGUCUCUGGCACAAUGGGGACAAGGCACCAAAUUUACCUGCAAAGUGACCACACCCUGUUCUGGAGAACUAACCCAGGACAUAACCAUGAGCAAUACAGAAAUCAGUAAGAAGGAGCCCUCAGUCACUGUCUCCCGAGCUUACCACGAAGACAUCUCUGGAAACAUCUGCGAAGCUAGCAGCUUUUACCCAGAAGAGAUCAGCAUCUCAUGGUUGAAGAACAACUUCCCAGAGCUCAAGUCGAGUUACAACAAUGGCUCCUGUGUCAGGAAGUGGCACUUUCUUUGCCUACAGCAUCCUGAAGGUUGAGCAAAGUCAAGGAGAAGGAAAUUACACCUGCGUAGUGCAUCACCCGGCCAUGGAAGAGCCCAAGAGUGUUGUGGAAAAGGUGUCCCUUGGUGUCAGCAACUGUAAUCAACACCCUCUGGAGGUGUCUCUCCUUUCCCCUCCCCUGGAGGACCUCUACAUAGCGCAGAACGCCACCAUCAGUUGUGUGGUGAGUGGCAUGGAGACCCCCGGCAGCCUGGAGGUCUCCUGGAACCGGGGUAGUGGGGGCCCAUUGGCCGUGGUCUCCAGGGAUCCGGUGCUGCAGGAAGAUGGCACCUACAGUGCAACCAGCAUCCUGUGGGUGUGCGUGGAGGAGUGGCAGGCAGGGGAGGAUUUCACCUGCACCGUGAAGCACCAAGACUUCCCGUCGGCGAUUGUCAAGACCAUCCGCAAGAGUCACAUGGUCUCCUCUGUGCCCCUUCUGUCUACAUUUCCUCCUCACGCUGAGGAACUGGCUCUCCGGGAAUCAGCCACCAUCACUUGCCUGGCCUCCGGCUUCCGGCCCAGAGCCAUCUUGGUGACAUGGACCCAGCAGGACCGGCCCGUGCCCCAGGAAGCCUACACCAACAUCGGCCCCGUGCGGGAGGCUGGGAAGGAGGAGCGCUACUUCAUCUACAGCAAGCUCAAUGUCUUGGCGUCCGAAUGGGAGCGGGUGGACACCUAUGCCUGUGUGGUGGAGCAUGAGGGUCUGCCCAUGACCUUCAUCCACCGGAGCAUGGACAGAGCCUCCGCUCCUCACUGCCCAGUGGAGGACCAAGGCAUCGAUGCUGAAGGAGGAGAGGAGGAAUCUGAUGGUCUCUGGACACCUGUUGCCUUCAUUGCUCUCUUCCUGCUCAGCCUGUUGUACAGCGCCGGCGUCACGCUGAUUAAGGUGCGGUGAGCGCCCGGCUCCGGGCUCCUAGGAGGUGGACAGCACUGCUUCAUCCUCUUCAUUCCCUCCC